CCCCCAUUUCCUCUUUUUCUCCUUAACCUGCAUCAGUGUUAAUAUUAAGGGAGUAUUCCACUUCCUGAUCUGUGUAUGUUUGCUAAAUCAGUAUUAAUAUUUCAGAUUUGUGGCUGGUAAGUAAUCCACUCUAAUCCGAUUGUGUGUAUGUAUGAGAUUCAACCCGAGAAUGUGAUUGCUUUCCUACAUAUCGAGAAUCAAGGAACAAUGGUGGUGGUGCAAGCACCAGGUUAGCGACGGCUUAGGGUUAGGGGUUCAACAAGGGUCAUUGACGAUGUGCUAGCCAAGAAGUGGCAUUCAGAUGCAAAUAAAGAUGAUCCAGAAGCAGUAAAAGGUUUCAGGUAGUUUCAAAGGCAUAGAGGGCAAAUUACAUAAGGAUAGCAGGUAGACGAGCAACAAUCUGCCCCGUCAUCCCU